CUGGGCUCGAAAUGCAGUGGACCGGGGUGGAAACAUCCCUUCCCCUUAAAAGGCUGCUGCAUAGGUGUUGCAUGGCUGUCGUCAGCUCGUGUCGUGAGAUGUUGGGUUAAGUCCCGCAACGAGCGCAACCCUUGUCUCAUGUUGCCAGCACGUAAUGGUGGGGACUCGUGAGAGACUGCUGGGGUCAACUCGGAGGAAGGUGGGGAUGACGUCAAGUCAUCAUGCCCCUUAUGUCCAGGGCUUCACACAUGCUACAAUGGCCGGUACAAAGGGCUGCGAUGCCGUGAGGUGGAGCGAAUCCUUGUAAAGCCGGUCUCAGUUCGGAUCGGGGUCUGCAACUCGACCCCGUGAAGUCGGAGUCGCUAGUAAUCGCAGAUCAGCAACGCUGCGGUGAAUACGUUCCC
rnacentral:rRNA from 1 species